GGGGAAUAUUGCACAAUGAGGGAAACCCUGAUGCAGCAACGCCGCGUGGAGGAAGAAGGUUUUCGGAUUGUAAACUCCUGUCUUUUGGGACGAUAAUGACGGUACCAAAGGAGGAAGCCACGGCUAACUACGUGCCAGCAGCCGCGGUAAUACGUAGGUGGCGAGCGUUGUCCGGAAUUACUGGGCGUAAAGGGCGCGUAGGCGGCCUGAUAAGUCAGAUGUGAAACCCCCAGGCUCAACUUGGGGCAUGCAUUUGAAACUGUCGGGCUCGAGUGUCGGAGAGGGAAGCGGAAUUCCUAGUGUAGCGGUGAAAUGCGUAGAUAUUAGGAGGAACACCAGUGGCGAAGGCGGCUUUCUGGACGAUAACUGACGCUGAGGCGCGAAAGCGUGGGGAGCAAAC
rnacentral:rRNA from 1 species